rnacentral:rRNA from 1 species
UACGGGGGGGGCAAGCGUUGUUCGGAAUUACUGGGCGUAAAGGGCGCGUAGGCGGCUUCGGAAGUUAUGGGUGAAAGCCCCCGGCUCAACUGGGGAAUGGCCUGUAAAACCACGGAGCUGGAGUGCUGGAGAGGGAAGUGGAAUUCCCAGUGUAGCGGUGAAAUGCGUAGAUAUUGGGAGGAACACCAGUGGCGAAGGCGGCUUCCUGGACAGACACUGACGCUGAGGCGCGAAAGCCAGGGGAGCGAACGGG